GGGCUCGUAGCUCAGUGGUAGAGCGGUCGGCUCAUAACCGAUUGGUCGUAGGUUCGAUACCUACCGAGCCCA
rnacentral:tRNA from 1 species